UUCCUCCAUUAAUACCUUACAUUAUUAAGAUACAUCUGUAACAAUUAAUGAAUCAAUUGUAUAGAUAAAGAGGAGGGAAAGUAAAUCUACCCCAUACACACUUCAACCCAGGCCCUGUGCCUGGUCUGUAUUGUGACUGGGAAGACAUGG
rnacentral:snoRNA from 1 species